UAAAAUGAAAAUAUUGUAAUCAUAAUCUUUUUAAAGUAAACUAUCUAAAAUUAAGAAAUAAUCUAAUAUGAUUUUAUUUUAGAAUAUAAACUUUCACUACAACAGAAUUAGGUUCUAGGGACACAUAUUUGGGACACUUUUGAGUAAGUGUCCCAUUUAUACUAAAACUUAAAAACAUAUCUACUAAUGCCUAAAUAUAAAGCCCAAUCCAACAAAAAAUAAAAGAUUACUCUACUCAACCCACCACAUCCAGUCCAUUUGGCCCGAUUACAAACAGAAAAGAAAAAAAAAAAGAAAAAUUGAUUACCAUCUUUUCUUCUCUCUUCACUCAAUCCACUGAAAUUCUAGAUGAAGAGCUUUUACUGUCGUCCUCCUCCGCCACCGCAGCCAACGAGAUAGAGUUUCGGCAGUUGCUAAAAGCUUAAAUAAGUAUUGGUAAAUUAGCAGCAUUCUUUUAGGUUAUAGCGACACUCUUUAACUGUCACUAUAUACCAAGCGACCCCACAUAUAGCAACACUUUUUAAAAGUGUCGGUAAUUUUAGCUAGCAGCACUUUUUUGACAUGUACCUACAUUUAAAAGUGUCGCUAUAGACCGUUUUUGUUGUAGUGUUUUGGUGUGAAAUCCGGCAAAUUUUUAUUUUCAGACCCAACCCGAAUUUUAAUUCA
rnacentral:lncRNA from 1 species